CGUCAAGUCAUCAUGGCCCUUACGACCUGGGCUACACACGUGCUACAAUGGCACGCACAGAGGGCCGCGACCCCGCGAGGGUGAGCAAAUCCCACAAAACGUGUCGUAGUCCGGAUUGGAGUCUGCAACUCGACUCCAUGAAGUCGGAAUCGCUAGUAAUCGCGAAUCAGAAUGUCGCGGUGAAUACGUUCCCGGGCCUU
rnacentral:rRNA from 1 species